AUACGUAGGGUGCAAGCGUUAAUCGGAAUUACUGGGCGUAAAGCGUGCGCAGGCGGUUUUGUAAGACAGUGGUGAAAUCCCCGGGCUCAACCUGGGAACUGCCAUUGUGACUGCAAGGCUGGAGUGCGGCAGAGGGGGAUGGAAUUCCGCGUGUAGCAGUGAAAUGCGUAGAUAUGCGGAGGAACACCGAUGGCGAAGGCAAUCCCCUGGGCCUGCACUGACGCUAGGGCACGAAGGCGUGGGGGGCAAACAGGAUUAGAUACCCUGGUAGUCCCCGCCCUAAACGAUGUCAACUGGUUGUUGGGGAUUUAUUUUCUCAGUAACGAAGCUAACGCGUGAAGUGGACCGCCGGGGGAGUACGGCCGCAAGGUUAAAACUCAAAGGAAUUGACGGGG
rnacentral:rRNA from 1 species